UAGGGUGACCACUUGCUCUGGUUUGCCUGGGACUGAGGGGUUUCUCAGGAAGUGGGGCAUUCAGUGCUAAAAGGCA
rnacentral:miRNA from 1 species